rnacentral:rRNA from 1 species
GAUGAACGCUGGCGGCGUGCCUAAUACAUGCAAGUCGAGCGAACAGACGAGGAGCUUGCUCCUCUGACGUUAGCGGCGGACGGGUGAGUAACACGUGGAUAACCUACCUAUAAGACUGGGAUAACUUCGGGAAACCGGAGCUAAUACCGGAUAAUAUAUUGAACCGCAUGGUUCAAUAGUGAAAGACGGUUUUGCUGUCACUUAUAGAUGGAUCCGCGCCGCAUUAGCUAGUUGGUAAGGUAACGGCUUACCAAGGCAACGAUGCGUAGCCGACCUGAGAGGCGGGUAGGCCACACGGGAGCGUAGACACGGUCCAUACUCCUACGAGAGGCAGCAGAAGGGAAUCUGCCGCAGUGGGCGAAAGCCUGACGGAGCAACGCCGCGUGAGUUAUGAAGGUCUUCGGAUCGUAAAACUCUGUUAUUAGUGAAGAACAAAUGUGUAAGUAACUAUGCACGUCUUGACGGUACCUAAUCAGAAAGCCACGGCUAACUACGUG